GGCAGCAAAGCAUCCCUCCAGCCAAUGAGGUUAAACCAGGAAGUUAUCACGUGAUAUAUAACAAACACUUGUUUUUUUCUUUGAACAAUAACUAUAUGUUAUUUACUGAGUGUACUUUAACAUUUCGGUGGUUUUAUACGAAUAUAUGUUACAUCUCAGCGUUUGGUAGUUCAUUAUUUCCGUCGACAUGGGCAAAGUUGACGUUAGCAACAUGGAGCUAAAAGACGUGGAAAAGUGUUGCUGUGUCGUUACCUUAACGGAGGCUUUUUCCACCAAAGCGCCGGUAAGUUUUAGUGGCGUCCUCGUCCGUCCCGGGGUGGUGAUAUGCACCGGCUUCCCCUUUUUUCCUUUCGUAACCCACAAAAAGCUCUCAGCCAGGUGCCUCUUACGUCACAACUUCCGGGAUGCGCUUCAAAUCAGCGUCACGUUUCCUUCCGGUCGUCACGUGGAGGCUAACCCCUGCGGACUGACCCACGAGUGUCCACCUGGCAGGAACACAACAACAACAGGGCAGUGGGAGGCAGAGCUGCUGAUGCUGGUCAACUGCCUGGAGUUCAAACAGGCUUUCCGGGCACUUUUCCAGGAGGCUGACGGAUGGCGUUUCCAUGGCGACGAGGAAGAGGAGCUGCUCGGAGAUGCUGACCACCUGAGCUGGUUCGGCGUGCUCAAGACGGGGGAACACCUGAAGCCAGGUGCCGCCUGGGAGAAGAGCUCGGCCCUUCGGAAAGGCGUCCCGGUCUUGGCGUGCGGCUCGCCUUUCGGAUCCCUCUGCGUGGACCUCUUCAUCAGCACCAUCAGCGGCGGCAUCAUCAGCAACCUGGCGGGCGAGGACAACGCCGUCAUCCUCACGGAUGCCCGCUGCGUGCCGGGCACAGAAGGCGGGGGGUUGUUUGCACUGAAUGACUCCGGUGGAGUGCGACUCAUCGGGGUGAUUGUGUCGCCGUUUGGCUGGAAGGGCAACGAGUGGAUCGGCCUCACGCUCGUUUGCUCGGUGCAGACGAUCUUCAGGAACGUUCUCCGAUGCGCCAACGCCGAAGAUCCAUUCCGGGAUGUCUGCCUUCGUCCCGCGGAGAUCGUCCCUGCUCCGGACUCCAUGGCUGGUCCGUACCCGGUCGUGGGGUUGGUGGACAGUGGGCAGCAGUGGGGCUCGGGGGUGCUUGUGACCUCUGACCUGGUCCUAACCUGCCGACACGUAGUCAAGGGGAAGUCCACGGUCGCUAUGAAGUUCCACCACAGGGACAGAGUCCUUGAUAGUGUCGGUGAUGUCAUCUUUGCCACUAAAACGUCGUCACCUUACGAUGUCGCCGUGGUCCAAUUGAGACAACCCUUCCCGGGCUUUCAAGUCCCUCAAAUGGCUCAGAAGUUCCACCCAGGCGAGCGCCUCCUGGUGGUGAGUUACGGCGGGCUGGGCGGCAGGUGCGGUCCAUCCCUGACAUGCGGCGUCCUGUCCAAGGCCAUCAGCGUCAACCGUCGGCCUGUCAUGCUUCAGACCACGUGUGCAGUACAAGCAGGGGCCAGCGGGGGCGCUGUGGUGCGGGCAUCGUCGGGGGAGCUGAUUGCUUGUUUUUGCAGGUAUGGUGGCGAGCAACACGAGAGACAUGACCGCCAAAGUCACCUACCCACACCUCAACUUCUGCAUCCCGGUCACCGCGCUGCAAGGACCGUUACGCCGAUUUCAGCAGCAGAAGGACUCGACGGCGUUUGAAGCCUUGGACACCACCGAGGAAGACGUCAGAAGGGUGUGGAGAAUACAAGACGCACACAGUAAACUGUAGGUGGCGCUAUGCUGGAGAGAAAAAGUUCUCCCUGGACACCUCGUCUUCUUCAGAGUUUCCUCGCAGGACCUUGUUUUGUUUGUGCGUGCUAAGAACAUGGAGAUGCUGUUGGAAAGGGGGCGCGUCUCUUUACCAGAUGUAACCCUCGUCAUCCGCCUCUCCCGCCUCUUCCUCCUCCGCCGUCUCCUCGCCGCCUUUUUCCUCUUCGUCUUCCCAUCCCACCGCGCUGCCGAAGUCGCCGGAGUACGCGGCGUCGUCGUCUGCGGGCGGAGGGAAGACGACAUUAGGUACGCCUGCAGAAACCUGAUAAGCAGCUAUUAUUGCUCUGUGAUUAUGAUGGAAUGAUACUGACAGCUGCAGCUAAUCUACACAUCAUUGUCUCAUUUGCAUGUGCACGUACACAAAAACACUCUGUGAAGUAACUCACAGUUUUUUCUUAUCAUAGAACACAGAUGUCAAACUCAAGGCCCUCCACUACUUUUUAUUUGGCCCUCCAAAGCCUGGAAAUACUUUUUAUUAGAGAUGUCCGAUAAUGUCGGACUGCCGAUAAAUGCUUUAAAAUGUGAUAUCGGAAAUUAACUGUAUCAAAAAGUCAAAUUUAUGACUUGAAAACACCGCUAUACGGAGUGGUACACGGACGUAAGAAGAAGUACAGAGCCUUUGCGUGCUGGCCCAAUCACAUAAUAUCUACGGCUUUUCACACAAACAAGUGAAUGCAAGGCAUACUUUGUCAGCAGCCAUACAGGUCACACUGAGGGUGGCCGUAUAAACAACUUUAACAGUUACAAAUAUGUGCCGCACUGUGAACCCACACCAAACAACAAUCAAUCAAUCAAUCAAUCAAUGUUUGCUUAUAUAGCCCUAAAUCACUAGUGUCUCAAAGGGCUGCACAAACCACCACGACAUCCUCGGUAGGCCCACAUAAGGGCAAGGAAAACUCACACCCAGUGGGACGUCUGUGACAAUAAUGAUUAUGAGAACCUUAGAGAGGAGGAAAGCAAUGGAUGUCGAGCGGGUCUAACAUGAUACUGUGAAAGUUCAAUCCACAAUGGAUCCAACACAGUCGCGAGAGUCCAGUCCAAAGCGGAUCCAACACAGCAGCGAGAGUCCCGUUCACAGCGGAGCCAGCAGGAAACCAUCCCAAGCGGAGGCGGAUCAGCAGCGCAGAGAUGUCCCCAGCCGAUACACAGGCAAGCAGUACAUGGCCACCGGAUCGGACCGGACCCCCUCCACAAGGCAGAGUGGGACAUAGAAGAAAAAGAAAAGAAACGGCAGAUCAACUGGUCAACAUUUCGGGAGAACAUCCGCACCGUAACACAACAGAACAAAUAACCAGAACCCCUUGCAGCACUAACUCUUCCGGGACGCUACAAUAUACACCCCCCCCUCAAACCAACUCCCCUCACCUCAACCUCCAAAAAUCCAAGCUGCUGUUUUCCGGCAUGUUAAAAACAAAUAAUGCUCUUUGUGACUUCAAUAAUAAAUAUGGCAGUGCCAUGUUGGCAUUUUGAGUUGAUUUAUUUUGGAAAACCUUGUUACAUUGUUUAAUGCAUCCAGAGGGGCAUCACCACAAAAUGGGGCACAAUAAUGUGUUCAUUCCACCACUCUAUAUAUUGGUAUCUCUUGAUAUGGGAAUCGGUAUUUAAGAGUUGGACAAUAUCGGAGUAUUGGAUAUCGGCAAAAAAGCCAUUAUCGGACAUCUCUACUUUAUCAAUAAAGUACUGUAACUUUUCUUGCUAAAUGUAUUAUUUCUUUCUAUUUUUGGAGAAAAAAUGAUAUGUUCUCCAUGAAAUCGUAAAUUAUGUUAAUGUAAAUAUUGUUUAAUUAUGUAAAAAUAUUAUGAAAACAUUUUUGAUAUAAAUAUUAAUAAUAAUGAUUUCAAAGCAAGUUAUUCAUCAUAUUGUGCAAUGUAGAAGUAGCAAUAGAUUUCAUGGUAAAAUUUAGAGCCGUUAUUAUCGGUCGAUAAAUGCUAUAAAAUGUAAUAUCGGAAAUUAUCGGUAUCUUUUUCUAAAAGUAAAAUGUAUGACUUGUUAAAACGCCGCUGUACAGAGUGGUGCACGGACGUAGGGAGAAGUACAGAGCGCCAACAAACCUUAAAGGCACUGCCUUUGCGGGCCGGCCCAGUCACAUUUCUGCGGCUUUUCACAAACACAAGUAAAUGCAAGGCAUACUUGGUCAACAGCCAUACAGGUCACACUGAGGGUGGCCGUACAAACAAUUCAAUAUUCAAUAACAUGGCAAAUUCUUGCAUCCAGCACACCUUACAACAGUGGUAAUAAAAGAUGCAACCUAUGCUUAAAAGAGAAACUGUUUAUUAUAUAUCAUCCAGAUCUAUCAUCCCUCAACAAGCGCAGUGAAAUCAUUUCAACAUGCCGCCACAGACGGAAACACCUCCUAGGUAACACAUGAGCCAAUCACCACACCCUACACCUGCCUGCACCCACCCACUCUGUGCUCUAUAUAAACCAUGGUAUGUGAAUGCUUCCAUUCAAACCUCCUGAUGAUUGAGGGAACCCCUCAUGAAACACUUGCAUAACCCCUCAUGAAACACUUGCAUAACCCCUCAUGAAACACUUGCAUAAAGUACAGGCAAGCUGUUUUGCCACUCUAAUGGUAGCACUCUUGAAAGUUAGCGCCCUCUAGGCAUUGGCGUGAAGGUUGCAAACAGCCACUCGAGCUAUUAUUUCAUAAUAUUGAACUAUGUUUUUAACCCCUCAAAGUGUUCUCACCAUUUUUUAAAUAAAGUCAUGUAAAAAAGGAA